UACGAAGGGGGCUAGCGUUGCUCGGAAUCACUGGGCGUAAAGGGUGCGUAGGCGGGUCUUUAAGUCAGGGGUGAAAUCCUGGAGCUCAACUCCAGAACUGCCUUUGAUACUGAGGAUCUUGAGUCCGGGAGAGGUGAGUGGAACUGCGAGUGUAGAGGUGAAAUUCGUAGAUAUCAUGAGGAAGACCAGUGGCGAAGGCGGGUCUCGGGACAGUUCCUGACACUGAGACACGAAGGCCAGGGGAGCAAACGGG
rnacentral:rRNA from 1 species